GCUCCUGUGGCCGAGAGGAAUGAGGCAUCGAUCUUCUAAAUCGACAAACGCAGGUUUGAGUCCUGCCGGGAGCGCCA
rnacentral:tRNA from 1 species